CUUCGGAGGUCAGAGCUCGGCGGGGUGCGGCUAGUGGCGGAGCGCGCUGCGAGGGGAGGGCUUUCCACUGUCGCUGGCGUGAACUCGCGUGCCCGGUGGGUAUCAGGGAAGAACCCCCGCCCCGGACCCCCAGAUCUGCCAUGGCCGAGGUAGCGAUCGUCUCUGCGGCCACGAAGACUGUUUUAACUUGUACCACUUUCCCUUCCAUUUUUCCUGGGGUGCCUCUCACCCUGCAUCUGCGCGUUCAGCAAGCUGGAUUUCGGGAAUGCUCAGUUCAGAAGAGAAAAAAUUGCCGGGAAUCAAGUCCUUCUUUUUGUUAGUCGGUAGUCGAUUGAUGGGAAGUGUUCAAAAUCAUUCGAUGUGGUGACAAGGCUUCACCAGGUACUGCCUUCUAACGAGCUGGCCAUUUCCACAUGUCAGAUAGGACCAACUUGCCUUUUAACUACCCGUGUGAUACUUAAACACUGUUGCCGGUAUCACAGCUUUUCUUCAAAACAGGUAAUAUUAGGGACACUUGAAAUUUGGGAAUUAGAUUUACCUUUGCUGUUACUAAAUAAUUGUUAGAAUUUUAAAUGUCAUAUUCAUUUUACUCAACUAAUCUCUUUAGCUUUCCUAUUUAUAUUCCUACUUAUGAUUACGUGUAAUUCUCAUUGGAAGGAUUAAAAUAUUUUGAAAGUAAGACAGUAAAAUUGUGAAAUACUUUGGUAUUGGUUACAAAACAGUACUUAGGUACCUUCUUCCUGAUUUUUCUGUAUUUUUAAAAAAUAAGGCCAGGCACAGUGGCAAAUGCUUAUAUUCCCAACUGCCCAGUAAGCUGAAGCAAGAGAAUUGCUUGAGCCCAACCUGGGCAACAUAGUGAAACCCCAGUCACCAAUUAAAAACAAACAAACAAAAAGAGUAUAUUUUUUGAAGAUA
rnacentral:lncRNA from 10 species